UUUAACUGAAGAGUUUGAUCAUGGCUCAGAUUGAACGCUGGCGGCAGGCUUAACACAUGCAAGUCGAGCGGGGGAAGGUAGCUUGCUACCGGACCUAGCGGCGGACGGGUGAGUAAUGCUUAGGAAUCUGCCUAUUAGUGGGGGACAACAUCUCGAAAGGGAUGCUAAUACCGCAU
rnacentral:rRNA from 1 species